rnacentral:misc_RNA from 1 species
GUGAAUCAUCGAAUUUUUGAACGCAAAUUGCACUCCCUGGUAUUCCGGGGAGUAUGCCUGUUUGAGGGUCGUUAGAAUAAAAAAUCGAAGCGUGGCUCUUUUUUUUAAGGGUGAUCGGGUCGGAUUUGCGCUGUCUUUCAAAUGUUAUUUAAUGUCAACGUGGUUUGAACUCCAUCCAUCCGGUCGGAUUAUAGCGUUUUUAAGAUACACUUUGAUUAAGAA